GGGGAUGUAAUGGUUUCGACAGGGUGAGAGCAUAUCGUGCGAUGCGUGUCGUGCUUCGCCGGUGGCGCACGUAAAUUCAACUGGCAUCUUACAAGUGGCAACACUUACAACUAUGCAAUGGCUGCCUAACUUAGAGUAGCCAUUCUUCAUCCGCCCGGCGUGUGUCUGUUCAUGGCGGUUCGCGGGUGUAACCUCUAACAGAACGAUGAAAUAAUGCGGCGCAGGUUGUUUCAUCUGAUUCACUGCCUCUAGCGAUUGUCUGCCUGUCGUUUGGCGAAGACGAAAGCGAAUGCCGUAAAGCGACUACACACGUAGUAUCAGCGAUGGGCGCACUUUGGACAGGGGUUCGAUUCCCCUCAUCUCCACGU
rnacentral:tmRNA from 1 species